GGUCCGCAGGCGGCGUGCAAGCCCCGGCUCGCUGGCCGGCAACCCUCCCUCCGCGGCGGGGUGCCCCGGGUGACGACCAGGCCGUCCGCCGUCCGGCGGGCGGCAAGCGCGGACC
rnacentral:ncRNA from 2 species